AUUGAACGCUGGCGGCAGGCUUAACACAUGCAAGUCGAGCGAGCGGCGGACGGGUGAGUAAUGUCUGGGAAACUGCCUGAUGGAGGGGGAUAACUACUGGAAACGGUAGCUAAUACCGCAUACCAUCAGAUGUGCCCAGAUGGGAUUAGCUAGUAGGUGGGGUAAUGGCUCACCUAGGCGACGAUACCUAGCUGGUCUGAGAGGAUGACAAGCCACCGUGGAACGGAGACACGGUCCAGACUCCUCCGGGAGCAAGCAGUGGGGAAUAUUGCACAUGGGGCGCAAGCCGGAUGCAGCCAGGCCGCGUGGUGGAAGAGGGCCUGCGGGUUUUAAAGCAUUUUCAGCGAGGAGGCGUUACUCGCAGAAGAAGCACCGGCUAACUCCGUGCCAGCAGCCGCGGUAAUAC
rnacentral:rRNA from 1 species